AGUGAACGCUGGCGGUAGGCCUAACACAUGCAAGCCGAACGGCAGCACAGUAAGAGCUUGCUCUUACGGGUGGCGAGUGGCGGACGGGUGAGGAAUACAUCGGAAUCUACUUUUUCGUGGGGGAUAACGUAGGGAAACUUACGCUAAUACCGCAUACGACCUACGGGUGAAAGCAGGGGAUCUUCGGACCUUGCGCGAUUGAAUGAGCCGAUGUCGGAUUAGCUAGUUGGCGGGGUAAAGGCCCACCAAGGCGACGAUCCGUAGCUGGUCUGAGAGGAUGACCAGCCACACUGGAACUGAGACACGGUCCAGACUCCUACGGGAGGCAGCAGUGGGGAAUAUUGGACAAUGGGCGCAAGCCUGAUCCAGCCAUACCGCGUGGGUGAAGAAGGCCUUCGGGUUGUAAAGCCCUUUUGUUGGGAAAGAAAAGCAGCAGGUUAAUACCCCGCUGUUCUGACGGUACCCAAAGAAUAAGCACCGGCUAACUUCGUG
rnacentral:rRNA from 1 species